GCAGUCGUGGCCGAGUGGUUAAGGCGUCUGACUCGAAAUCAGAUUCCCCCUGGAGCGUAGGUUCGAAUCCUACCGGCUGCG
rnacentral:tRNA from 1 species